CCUACGGGUGGCUGCAGUGAGGAAUUUUCCGCAAUGGGCGAAAGCCUGACGGAGCAAUACCGCGUGAGGGAAGACGGCCUAUGGGUUGUAAACCUCUUUUUUCAGGGAGGAACAAAAUGACGUGUACCUGAAGAAUAAGCAUCGGCUAACUCCGUGCCAGCAGCCGCGGUAAGACGGAGGAUGCAAGUGUUAUCCGGAAUCACUGGGCGUAAAGCGUCUGUAGGUGGUUUGUUAAGUCAACUGUUAAAUCUUGAGGCUCAACUUCAAAUCAGCAGUCGAAACUAUCAGACUAGAGUAUAGUAGGGGUAAAGGGAAUUUCCAGUGGAGCGGUGAAAUGCGUAGAUAUUGGAAAGAACACCGAUGGCGAAGGCACUUUACUGGGCUAUUACUAACACUCAGAGACGAAAGCUAGGGUAGCAAAUGGGAUUAGAUACCC
rnacentral:rRNA from 1 species